rnacentral:rRNA from 1 species
AACGAACGCUGGCGGCGUGCCUAACACAUGCAAGUCGAACGUGAUUAGAGAGCUUGCUCUCUAUGAAAGUGGCGCACGGGUGAGUAACGCGUAGAUAAUCUACCUGAUGAUCCGGGAUAACACUUCGAAAGGGGUGCUAAUACCAGAUAAGCCCACGGGGUCCUUGGACUCUGCGGGAAAAGGAGGGGACUUUCGGGCCUUCCGUCAUCAGAUGAGUCUGCGUACCAUUAGCUAGUUGGUAGGGUAAAGGCCUACCAAGGCGACGAUGGUUAGCUGGUCUGAGAGGAUGAUCAGCCACACUGGAACUGAGACACGGUCCAGACUCCUACGGGAGGCAGCAGUGGGGAAUUUUGCGCAAUGGGGGAAACCCUGACGCAGCAACGCCGCGUGAGUGAUGAAGGCCCUUGGGUCGUAAAGCUCUGACAGAGGGAAAGAAGUGUAUUGUGGCUAAUAUCCACGAUACUUGACGGUACCCUCAAAGGAAGCACCGGCUAACUCCGUGCCAGCAGCCGCGGUAACAC